AGAAAUACAAUACAGGGCAAUUGUCUUGUAAUUGGAAUGAUGGUGACGUAAAAUCUCACCAGAGUAACAAUUGGAGGGCAAGUCUGGUGCCAGCAGCCGCGGUAAUUCCAGCUCCAAUAGCGUAUAUUAAACUUGUUGCAGUUAAAAAGCUCGUAGUUGAAUUUCUGCGUUGCCCGACUCGGCUACUUGCCUUGUCUGGUUUCGCUUUUGGGGUUUUCCCCUUUUUACUUUGAGAAAAUUAGAGUGUUUCAAGCAGACUUGUGUCUUGAAUACUUCAGCAUGGAAUAAUAAAGUAGGACUUUGGUUCUAUUUUGUUGGUUUGUGAACCUUAGUAAUGGUUAAUAGGAACGGUUGGGGGCAUUCGUAUUUAAA
rnacentral:rRNA from 1 species